UCAAUUGAGGUCCAUAAAAGGAGAAAGAGGAAUUACAAUUGGACACUCCAUGAAGGAGAAACAUAACACUCCAUGAAGGAGGAAAAACAUCUUCAUAAGGAGGAUGAUAACACUCCAUAAGGAGGAAGAGAAACUCCAUGAAAGGAGAAAAUGAAACCUCCAUGGAAGGAGGGAUUGGAAUUCCACAUUCCAAUGAAUAUUCAAUGCACACACGUCUGUAUUUAUAGAGAAAUAUGUAGGGUAAUUAACUAACUAACUUGACUACUAACUACUAAACUAAUUUUGACAGCUGGAAGAAUAUUCUGCCUGAACUGGAAUCUGAUUUGGAAUAUUCAUGCUGAUGUGGAAGCUGCUGGAAUCUGGUGCAAUUGCAUUCCAACACACCCCCCUCAAGAUGGACUAGGAGAUCCAUCUUGAAGAUGAAAGAAAAUGAAUCAAGCAUUCAUUGCUAUUUUGCUUGCUGUCAUGGCAGUUCAGGGAAUCAAGCCCAACACAAUCACAUGCCUAUGGAAGAUCAAAGAGGUUCACAGAGAUGGAAUCAACUCUUGUACAAGUGCUUCGGCUACAAGAAUGUGAACCUGAUGCAUGGACCAUAAACUCCACCUUGCAAGCUUUUGGUGGCAGCAGGUAAAGAGUUAAUAUAAUGAAAAGUGCCAGUCAGAGAUCACUUUUUCACAAAUGUUAUCUGUAGAAGAGUUGCUGGACAUUUUUCAAACACCUUGUGUGCACAUCAUUUGGAUCUUCCACAGCACUAAAAAACUCCAUUUCAUGUGAACCAAAGAGAGAGCAUUUCAAUAGAAGAUAUCACCUGCACCAAUAAUUUUUGCGGCAAUACUUCCAAACAAAUCAGCAUCCCAAGCUGCACAGUCUCUAACCAAAUCUGUUAUUACAACAGGAUUACAAAUGCAUGCUCACUCUGAUUUAACAGCUUGAUGAUGUUAGAGAUCCAGAAGAAAAUGAAGAGAAAUUUUACUGUUGAAAUUGGUAAAUUCAGCUCGAUUGGCGAUACUUCGAAGAAGCAUACUAUUACCAGUUACACCUUUGAGCAAUCACUGUUCUUCAACGUCCUUCUAAAAAACCUCUUCAAAUUGAAUGAGAAUGAAGGUAAAUCGAAAUCCAGUGGACUGAAUCUCAAUGAUCAGUUUCAGAAGAGAGAAAACCACAGAGAUAUGAAAAUUCUGGGAAUGACACUUCCAGAAUUGUGUUGAAAUGGAAGAAACCACAGAUCUGCUUUCUUUGAGCAGAAUUCAGGAAAAAUGAGAUGAAUUAAAUCUCAGGAAAGCAGCAGCAGGUAGCAAAUUCUGCUCUGAUACCAUAUUACAAUUUAUUGAAUGAAAAAUUUCAAUUGAGGUCCAUAAAAGGAGAAAGAGGAAUUACAAUUGGACACUCCAUGAAGGAGAAACAUAACACUCCAUGAAGGAGGAAAAACAUCUUCAUAAGGAGGAUGAUAACACUCCAUAAGGAGGAAGAGAAACUCCAUGAAAGGAGAAAAUGAAACCUCCAUGGAAGGAGGGAUUGGAAUUCCACAUUCCAAUGAAUAUUCAAUGCACACACGUCUGUAUUUAUAGAGAAAUAUGUAGGGUAAUUAACUAACUAACUUGACUACUAACUACUAAACUAAUUUUGACAGCUGGAAGAAUAUUCUGCCUGAACUGGAAUCUGAUUUGGAAUAUUCAUGCUGAUGUGGAAGCUGCUGGAAUCUGGUGCAAUUGCAUUCCAACA
rnacentral:lncRNA from 1 species